CGGAGCGUGGCUCAGCCUGGUAGAGCACAGCGUUCGGGACGCUGGGGUCGCUGGUUCAAAUCCAGUCGCUCCGACCA
rnacentral:tRNA from 1 species